rnacentral:rRNA from 1 species
AUUGAACGCUGGCGGCAGGCCUAACACAUGCAAGUCGAGCGGUAGCACAGAGAGCUUGCUCUCGGGUGACGAGCGGCGGACGGGUGAGUAAUGUCUGGGAAACUGCCUGAUGGAGGGGGAUAACUACUGGAAACGGUAGCUAAUACCGCAUAACGUCGCAAGACCAAAGUGGGGGACCUUCGGGCCUCAUGCCAUCAGAUGUGCCCAGAUGGGAUUAGCUAGUAGGUGGGGUAACGGCUCACCUAGGCGACGAUCCCUAGCUGGUCUGAGAGGAUGACCAGCCACACUGGAACUGAGACACGGUCCAGACUCCUACGGGAGGCAGCAGUGGGGAAUAUUGCACAAUGGGCGCAAGCCUGAUGCAGCCAUGCCGCGUGUGUGAAGAAGGCCUUCGGGUUGUAAAGCACUUUCAGCGGGGAGGAAGGCGGUGAGGUUAAUAACCUCAUCGAUUGACGUUACCCGCAGAAGAAGCACCGGCUAACUCCGUGCCAGCAGCCGCGGUAAUACGGAGGGUGCAAGCGUUAAUCGGAAUUACUGGGCGUAAAGCGCACGCAGGCGGUCUGUCAAGUCGGAUGUGAAAUCCCCGGGCUCAACCUGGGAACUGCAUUCGAAACUGGCAGGCUAGAGUCUUGUAGAGGGGGGUAGAAUUCCAGGUGUAGCGGUGAAAUGCGUAGAGAUCUGGAGGAAUACCGGUGGCGAAGGCGGCCCCCUGGACAAAGACUGACGCUCAGGUGCGAAAGCGUGGGGAGCAAACAGGAUUAGAUACCCUGGUAGUCCACGCCGUAAACGAUGUCGAUUUGGAGGUUGUGCCCUUGAGGCGUGGCUUCCGGAGCUAACGCGUUAAAUCGACCGCCUGGGGAGUACGGCCGCAAGGUUAAAACUCAAAUGAAUUGACGGGGGCCCGCACAAGCGGUGGAGCAUGUGGUUUAAUUCGAUGCAACGCGAAGAACCUUACCUGGUCUUGACAUCCACAGAACUUUCCAGAGAUGGAUUGGUGCCUUCGGGAACUGUGAGACAGGUGCUGCAUGGCUGUCGUCAGCUCGUGUUGUGAAAUGUUGGGUUAAGUCCCGCAACGAGCGCAACCCUUAUCCUUUGUUGCCAGCGGUCCGGCCGGGAACUCAAAGGAGACUGCCAGUGAUAAACUGGAGGAAGGUGGGGAUGACGUCAAGUCAUCAUGGCCCUUACGACCAGGGCUACACACGUGCUACAAUGGCAUAUACAAAGAGAAGCGACCUCGCGAGAGCAAGCGGACCUCAUAAAGUAUGUCGUAGUCCGGGUUGGAGUCUGCAACUCGACUCCAUGAGGUCGGAAUCGCUAGUAAUCGUAGAUCAGAAUGCUACGGUGAAUACGUUCCCGGGCCUUGUACACACCGCCCGUCACACCAUGGGAGUGGGUUGCAAAAGAAGUAGGUAGCUUAACCUUCGGGAGGGCGCUUACCACUUUGUGAUUCAUGACUGGGGUGA